rnacentral:rRNA from 1 species
UAGCAUAUCAAUAGCGGAGGAAAAGAAACCAACCGGGAUUGCCCUAGUAACGGCGAGUGAAGCGGCAAGAGCUCAAAUUUGAAAGCUGGCUCCUUCGGGGUCCGCAUUGUAAUUUGCAGAGGAUGCUUCGGGAGCGGUCCCCAUCUAAGUGCCCUGGAACGGGCCGUCAUAGAGGGUGAGAAUCCCGUAUGGGAUGGGGUGUCCGCGCCCGUGUGAAGCUCCUUCGACGAGUCGAGUUGUUUGGGAAUGCAGCUCUAAUUGGGUGGUAAAUUUCAUCUAAAGCUAAAUAUUGGCCGGAGACCGAUAGCGCACAAGUAGAGUGAUCGAAAGAUGAAAAGCACUUUGAAAAGAGAGUUAAAAAGCACGUGAAAUUGUUGAAAGGGAAGCGCUUGCGAUCAGACUCGCUCGCGGGGUUCAGCCGGCCUUCGGGCCGGUGUACUUCCCCGCGGGCGGGCCAGCGUCGGUUUGGGCGGCCGGUCAAAGGCCCCUGGAAUGUAACGCCUCUCGGGGCGUCUUAUAGCCAGGGGUGCCAUGCGGCCUGCCCGGACCGAGGAACGCGCUUCGGCUCGGACGCUGGCAUAAUGGUCGUAAGCGACCCGUCUUGAAACACGGACCAAGGAGUCUAACAUCUACGCGAGUGUUCGGGUGUCAAACCCGUGCGCGCAGUGAAAGCGAACGGAGGUGGGAACCCCUCGGGGUGCACCAUCGACCGAUCCUGAUGUCUUCGGAUGGAUUUGAGUAAGAGCGUAGCUGUUGGGACCCGAAAGAUGGUGAACUAUGCCUGAAUAGGGCGAAGCCAGAGGAAACUCUGGUGGAGGCUCGCAGCGGUUCUGACGUGCAAAUCCAUCGUCAAAUUUGGGUAUAGGGGCGAAAGACUAAUCGAACCAUCUGGUAGCUGGUUCC